UAAGACGAACCGUGCGAACGUUGUUCGGAUUCACUGGGCUUAAAGGGUGCGUAGGCGGGUCGCCGAGUCGGGGGUGAAAUCCCACGGCCCAACCGUGGAAGGGCCUCCGAUACUGGCGACCUCGAGGGAGGUAGGGGCGCGCGGAACUCAGGGUGGAGCGGUGAAAUGCGUAGAUAUCCUGAGGAACGCCGGUGGCGAAAGCGGCGCGCUGGAUCUCUUCUGACGCUGAGGCACGAAAGCCAGGGGAGCAAACGGGAUUAGAUACCCCGGUAGUCCUGGCCCUAAACGAUGGGUACUAGGUUGCGGACUUGACAUGGGUUCGCAGCCGAAGCAAAAGUGUUAAGUACCCCGCCUGGGGAGUAUGGUCGCAAGGCUG
rnacentral:rRNA from 1 species